rnacentral:sRNA from 1 species
CUUGUCUGACAGCAAUGGGAGGGGAGGCCCUUGGUCCUGGAGAGGUUUGAUGCCCUAGCUAGGGGGAUGCUAGAGCGGUUGGUGGGCGAAUGAAGGUGGGGGAGCAUUCUCAUAUAGUCAAAGGGGAGGGGGAGGGCAGAUGUGGGAUGGGGGCUGGUUGGGGGGUAACUGGGAAGUGGGAUAUCAUAUGAGAUGUGAACCAAUGGAAUGAUUAAUAGAAAUAAAUAAAUAAACACCCGUCUGGUUUACAUAUGCCAGGAAGAAAACCUCUCCUAUUCUUUCUGAAACAUCCAGCAGAUCCAAGGAACAACAGCUAUAGGAGAAGAAUGGCCAUGGUAAAAAAUAAGAAGGAACAAUAAAUGAAAGUUCUCAGAGGAAACAGCUACUUCAGGUGCCUGGACUAACACCUGAGUGUUGUUUCAGAAUUUGUGAGAGCCGUAAAUAAAAUGGACACUACAGUGAGAAAGGUCAUUUCAACUUGAAGAUGAUAAUUUUUGAAAGAAAUCUUAAUGACCAAAACAUAGGAGAAAGUAGCCCUCUGGAAUGAAUAACAGAUUUGAAAAAUGAGAGGAGAAAGAAGAGGGUACAAAAUCUUAUUCUCAAAACCCGGCAUCCAGUAAACAUUCUCCGAAGAACAGAGCUGAGAUCACGGUUGCUAAGGAGGAGGAUAUCUCAGAGUGGACACGCCCAACGCACUUACAACAGAAACUUAAGCUGAGCCAGAAGGAGUAGCAUCAUAGUGUUGAAAUUUCAGAAUAUCAAAGAAAACUAUUUAUACUGCUAUGACAAAGGAAAAGGAAUAUCUACAACUGAAUGAGGUCCAUCUCCUCAUCGUGUCUUUAAGACACGGGUCCUGAUCUGUUUGACAGCAGCCCCUACUUGUUCUGUGCUGGAGGCUUGGUUGUCAGUGAUGUUGGAAGAUGGGGACCCUGAGGAUGUGGGUGGAACAUACAGUUCUAAAGUCUUGAAAGUUCUGUCCUUAGGAGCUGUUGUGGAGGAAUUAUGAAUGAUGAGCGUUAACAGAGCAUCAUGGACCCCUGAAUCAUGCAGCUGUUUCUUGUCUUAGGAAAAGUGACCACGGGGGCUGCCUUUGCUUUGAUGCUGUUCACCAUAAGAUAUUUACAGAGCGAAGCCAACACCAGCACCUAGAAUUUAAGCCCUGGAAGUGAGGCUGAAUAAACUCUUUUUUUUCUGUAUAAACGUCCAAGCCUCACAUACUUCAUCAUAGCAAUGAAAAUGGAUUAAUGUAAUAACUAAGUAGCCUCAAAAGACUGUGGGACACUUUGAUACCAAUAGAAAGUGACAUUCAGAGAAGAAACUCUAGGUAUAAUCAGCAGAAAAGUCCAAACAGGCAGAGCAGGGCUAUGAACCUUUUGUUUUCAGACCUAACUACAUUGGAUAUUAAAGUUAUUAGAAGAAAACCCAGGUGCCAUUGAAGAAGGGUUCUAGAGAUUGGCCACCUGAAAAUUAUCUUCUCUAGAACCUUCUCAGGAGAAGCUAAGGCUGUGGCCAAGAUCUGUGGGGAAUUGAAAUAAAUAUACAAUGUUCCCAGAAGUGUGAAUGCUUUGAUUCUGGAUCCCUCAAUAUCAGUGAUGUUCUUCAUCCAGACCUGCUUGCUGCCCGGCAUAACACAGACUCCUGGGCACCGAAGGUUUGACACCGAUGUCUCAGCAGUGGUUGCAGAGUUUACCUGUGAAGCGCUGCCCACGAUCACCUCCUUCGCCUUCCGAGUGCCAUCAGCCUAUUUAUUACAGAGCUCAUGGUCUCUCAUCCUGGAACGCAAUCAUAUCUUUGCAUGGCCUUUGUGUCCCUCCUUCUUGGACUGGAUGACUCCUCCUUCCUGACUCGUAUGUGAAGCCCUCCCUGACGUGGCUGUACUUGCUGACAGAGUCUUUGAAGGGAUCAUUAAGGACAUGUGAGCUCGAAAGGUGGAACCGGUGCUGGUUAUUUUGAUGAUAAAACAGCAUGACCAGAAACACCUUUGAGAACAACAGUUUAUUUGAUCUUUUAAUUACAGUGAUCUCUCGGCUUCCUGCUCUUGCCGCCUGCUGUCAUGUCUCCCAAGCUAUCACGGACCAACAGGAAGCGAAGAGUGAACUGUGUAUGAGGGAAGGCUUAUAACUCCCCAAAGCCCAUCCCAGCGACCCACUUCCUCUAGCAAGAUGCCACAUAUUAAAAAAUUCCGAUAGCGACCCCAAACAUCACCACCAACCAGAGACCAUGUGUUCAAAUAUGUGAAUCUACAGCGGACAUAUUUUUGUAUGAACCACCACAGACCCCAGUCAACUAACACCAGCGUGAGUCAAAUACUCACAGUAGCCUGUUGAUACAAUCAAGAGAAGCUUUGUAAACUUGAAAUGUAUGAUGUGCCAGCCAGUACACACAGCUUACAGUUGCAAACUUUAAACUCUGAAGGGCUUUUAAAAACAAUUAUGUGUACAUAUGUGCCCUUGCGUGGUUUUAUUCAUGUGAAUGCAGUGCCAAAAGAGGCCAGAAGAGAAUGUCAGACAACCUAGAGCUGGAGUUGUAUGUGGUUGAGAGUUGGUUACCUAGUGUGGGUGCUGGGAACCAAACUUGGAUCCUUUGCAAAAGCAUUAUGGGCUCGUAGGCACUGAACCGUUUCCUCAGCCUCUAAACUCCUUCUUAUAACCAGGGUGGGCACACGCUAGAUUAAUAAUUAAGGACAUAGCAUAGCCAAUACACAGACAAGUAACUUGUCACUAAUUUUCACAAUGAAACAUUGUAUACGACACAUAUGUAGAGUCUAGUCCUGUAUGACUGGACAUGUCUGAACUGUAGCACUGCCCCCGUGCAGGAUCCAUUCAUUACUCCUUACAUGGAGAAAGUUGGGCUUUGGAAAUUUUCGGAAAAGGCAAGCAAUAUUUCCUAUGAGUUAAUGCGAUGUUUUGAAAGAAUAUGGCCCCCAUAAGUCUAUAGGGAGUGGCACUAUUAGGAGAUGAGUUAGAGAAGGUGUGGCCUUGUUGGAGUGGGUGUGGCUUUUUAGAGUAGGUGUGGCUUUGCUGGAGGAAGUGUGUCUCUGUGGGAGCAGGCUUUGAGGUCUCAAGUGCUCAAACCCUGUCUAGUGUAACAUUCACUUCCUGUUGCCUGUGGAUCUGCUGUAGAAUUUUCAACUCCUUCUCCAGCAUCACGUCUCUCUGCACACUGCCAUAUUUUCUGCCAUGGUGCCAGGGCUGCUCCCACCAAUACAUUCCAUGCUGCGUACUCUGAGUCCUAGCGACCACCCUCUCUCUCUGUUUUCCUUCGGGCCUAGGGUGGUAGUACCUCUUCUGUUUUCUCUUCCAAGGUCCUCUGUUAGGCCAAAUGCCUCAACUAUGCCUAACUCACACUUUGUCACUUGGCAUUUUGGGAAAGACAAAAGCAAACACACCUCACCUCCAGUGGUCCUGACGUGGUGCUCACCACUUUUACUUGUUUUAGUAAUGGGUGCAAAAUCUACACCUUGCAUGUAGAGGCCACUUACUUUGGGAAGACAUGUCAAGUUGAACCAGCUAUGAACCUCAGUUAGGUAAAGGCAAAUUAGAAACAUGUCAUUCCUCCUAGCUGCAGUAAUUAAUGAGGGAAUUGCCAAGCACAGAAGAUAAGACCUGGAACUUUUACACAUUUUUUUUCUCAAUGAAUAAACCAAGUAUGUCGUGUCCCCCUUAUUACUAAUAGGCAUCCUCCAAACGUGAGUCAUCAGAGAAGAAGCAGUUCUUAGGGAGGUUGUCAGUGAGUCCUGAAGCACCCCUCUCAGAGUAUGCUUCAUGAGCUAGAAACUCCUUGGCAUUGCUUUUGCCAGUCAGCCAGUUUUUCCUCUCGUGGGGUCAUCAUAGGUCUGAACUGAUAUUUGAUUUGAUCAUUCUCAAUUUCUCCUAGCUUAUCAAGAAUGGAUAACCAGAUCUUCCAGGAAGAAGAAACACUCACCAAUCACUUCUUCCUCUCAGAGAUUCCAGGAAGUGUUCCUGGCAGCCCUUGUGCCAGUGAGCUUAAUCGGCCAUUCUGGAACACACUUCGAAGGGAUCCAAUUAAGAAUUUCUCCAAGUCACACAGUCUCGUCUCUUUGCAGUCAUUCAUGGCCUGACAUCAUUACUGGCUCCACUGUCUUAUAAACAAAUGUUCAUCUAUUAACAGUUUUUAGAAAAUUUGCCAUUCACAAGACUGGACAGGGUGCUGGUGGCCAAUGAAAUAACCUUUAGAAAUGUCUUGAAAAUGUUGUAACCCUUUGAAAAGAGAGAAAAGGUAGAUGGUAUUGAGAUACGUAAAGAAAGAAGAAAGGAUUCCAAUCCAUUUAGGCAGAGACAGCAACCCAAGGUGAAAAUGCCCAGCAUCGAGUGAUCUCAGAAGGGUAACUUAUCAAACGCCUUCAUAAAGCUGAUAACGUCUCAGGCCCGUGUCAGCCAUGAAAUGACACAUCCAAAUGUAGUCCCAGAAGCACAUUUGCAGAAGACACAGUCCCAAGAGGCGAAAACUCCUCAAAUAAAAAGAAAACCAUAAGGAAAAGAAAGCAGCAUCUUCUACCUCUUGCCACCAUGACACAUGCGAUUCUCUUGUGUGGGUCAUCCAUUGAGGAUCAGGAUUCCCAGAGAUAUUGAUGAUUUCUAGUGGAUUGCAUAUUAACCUAACUGUGUCUAAUUGAUGGUAGCAGGAUUCCACAUACAGGAUAAAGCUGGCACAUUACUUGUGUAUGAACAUACAUGAGCUCAUAAUUGAUAUGCAUGUAAUGAUGAGUGUCUCUUAAAACAAAUACAAAUCAAUGAUCUUAUUCAA